rnacentral:rRNA from 1 species
GUAUAAUGGGUCAGCGACUUAUAUUCUGUAGCAAGGUUAACCGAAUAGGGGAGCCGGAGGGAAACCGAGUCUUAACCGGGCGUUAAGUUGCAGGGUAUAGACCCGAAACCCGGUGAUCUAGCCAUGGGCAGGUUGAAGGUUGGGUAACACUAACUGGAGGACCGAACCGACUAAUGUUGAAAAAUUAGCGGAUGACCUGUGGCUGGGGGUGAAAGGCCAAUCAAACCGGGAGAUAGCUGGUUCUCCCCGAAAGCUAUUUAGGUAGCGCCUCGUGAAUUCAUCUCCGGGGGUAGAGCACUGUUUCGGCUAGGGGGCCAUCCCGGCUUACCAACCCGAUGCAAACUGCGAAUACCGGAGAAUGUUAUCACGGGAGACACACGGCGGGUGCUAACGUCCGUCGUGAAGAGGGAAACAACCCAGACCGCCAGCUAAGGUCCCAAAGUCAUGGUUAAGUGGGAAACGAUGUGGGAAGGCCCAGACAGCCAGGAUGUUGGCUUAGAAGCAGCCAUCAUUUAAAGAAAGCGUAAUAGCUCACUGGUCGAGUCGGCCUGCGCGGAAGAUGUAACGGGGCUAAACCAU